rnacentral:rRNA from 1 species
UGGGGAAUAUUGGACAAUGGGCGCAAGCCUGAUCCGGCCAUGCCGCGUGAGUGAUGAAGGGCCUUAGGGUUGUAAAGCUCUUUCGCCGACGAAGAUAAUGACGGUAGGUCGGAGAAGAAGCCCCGGCUAACUUCGUGCCAGCAGCCGCGGUAAUACGAAGGGGGCUAGCGUUGUUCGGAAUCACUGGGCGUAAAGCGCACGUAGGCGGAUUGUUAAGUCAGGGGUGAAAGCCUGAGCUCAACUCCAGAACUGCCCUCGAUACUGGCAAUCUCGAGUCCGGAAGAGGUAAGUGGAACUGCGAGUGUAGAGGUGAAAUUCGUAGAUAUUCGCAAGAACACCAGUGGCGAA